rnacentral:rRNA from 1 species
GUGCCAGCAGCCGCGGUAAUACGUAGGGCGCAAGCGUUAUCCGGAAUUAUUGGGCGUAAAGAGCUCGUAGGCGGUUUGUCGCGUCUGCCGUGAAAGUCCGGGGCUCAACUCCGGAUCUGCGGUGGGUACGGGCAGACUAGAGUGAUGUAGGGGAGACUGGAAUUCCUGGUGUAGCGGUGAAAUGCGCAGAUAUCACGAGGAACACCGAUGGCGGUCGAACGAUGAUGCCCACUUGUGGGUGGAUUAGUGGCGAAAGCAUGGGGAGCGAACAGGAUUAGAUACCCUGGUAGUCC